rnacentral:rRNA from 1 species
CCUACGGGAGGCAGCAGUAGGGAAUCUUCCACAAUGGGCGAAAGCCUGAUGGAGCAACGCCGCGUGAGUGAAGAAGGUCUUCGGAUCGUAAAACCCUUUUGUUAGAGAAGAAAGUGCGUGAAAGUAACUGUUCACGUUUCGACGGUAUCUAACCAGAAAGCCACGGCUAACUACGUGCCAGCAGCCGCGUUAAUACGUAGGUGGCAAGCGUUAUCCGAAUUGAUUGUGCGUAAAGGGAACGCAGGCGGUCUUUUAAAUCUGAUGUGAAAGCCUUCGGCUUAACCGGAGGAGUGCAUUGGAAACUGGGAGACUGGAGUGCAGAAGAGGAGAGCGGAAUGCCAGGUGUAGCGGUGAAAUGCGUAGAUAUAUGGAAGAACACCAGUGGCGAAAGCGGCUCUCUGGGCUGUAACUGACGCUGAGGGUCGAAAGCGUGGGUAGCAAACAGGAUUAGAUACCCUAGUAGUC